rnacentral:rRNA from 1 species
UACGAGGGGGGCGAGCGUUGUUCGGAAUUAUUGGGCGUAAAGGGUGCGUAGGCGGUUCCGCAAGUCCUGUGUGAAAUCUCUGGGCUCAACUCAGAGUCUGCCAUAGAAACUGUAGUGCUAGAGUGUGGGAGAGGUGAGUGGAAUUCCCGGUGUAGCGGUGAAAUGCGUAGAUAUCAGGAGGAACACCGGUGGUGUAAACGGCUUUCUGGACCAUAACUGACGCUGAGGCACGAAAGCGUGGGUAGCAAACAGG